UGUGUAGGCGGUGUUCUAAGUCUGUUGUGAAAUCUCCCGGCUCAACUGGGAGGGUGCGGCGGAGACUGGAAUGCUAGAGUAUGGGAGAGGUAAGCGGAAUUCCUGGUGUAGCGGUGAAAUGCGUAGAUAUCAGGAGGAACACCUGUGGUGUAGACAGCUUACUGGACCAUGACUGACGCUGAGACACGAAAGCGUGGGUAGCAAACA
rnacentral:rRNA from 1 species